UUUUUAUGGAGAGUUUGAUCCUGGCUCAGGAUGAACGCUGGCGGCGUGCCUAAUACAUGCAAGUCGAGCGAACAGACGAGGAGCUUGCUCCUCUGACGU
rnacentral:rRNA from 1 species